rnacentral:rRNA from 1 species
UGGGGAAUAUUGCGCAAUGGGGGGAACCCUGACGCAGCCAUGCCGCGUGAAUGAAGAAGGCCUUCGGGUUGUAAAGUUCUUUCGGUAUUGGGGAAGGUUGAUGUGUUAAUAGCACAUCAAAUUGACGUUAAAUACAGAAGAAGCACCGGCUAACUCCGUGCCAGCAGCCGCGGUAAUACGGAGGGUGCGAGCGUUAAUCGGAAUAACUGGGCGUAAAGGGCACGCAGGCGGUUAUUUAAGUGAGGUGUGAAAGCCCCGGGCUUAACCUGGGAAUUGCAUUUCAGACUGGGUAACUAGAGUACUUUAGGGAGGGGUAGAAUUCCACGUGUAGCGGUGAAAUGCGUAGAGAUGUGGAGGAAUACCGAAGGCGAAGGCAGCCCCUUGGGAAUGUACUGACGCUCAUGUGCGAAAGCGUGGGGAGCAAACAGGAUUAGAUACCCUGGUAGUCCACGCUGUAAACGCUGUCGAUUUGGGGGUUGGGGUUUAACUCUGGCGCCCGUAGCUAACGUGAUAAAUCGACCGCCUGGGGAGUACGGCCGCAAGGUUA